rnacentral:rRNA from 1 species
CCUACGGGUGGCAGCAGUAGGGAAUUUUCGGCAAUGGACGCAAGUCUGACCCAGCAACGCCGCGUGAAGUCAGAAGGCUUUCGGGUUGUAAACUUCUUUUAAGGGGGACGAGCAGAAGACGGUACCCCUUGAAUAAGCCACGUCUAACUACGUUACAGCAGCCUCGGUAAUACGUCGGUGGCAAGCGUUGUCCGGAAUUACUGGGUGUAAAGGGCGUGCAGCCGGGAAGACAAGUGAGAUGUGAAAUCACGCGGCUCAACCGCGGAACUGCAUUUGAAACUGUUUUUCUUGAGUAUCGGAGAGGUAAUCGGAAUUACUAGUGUAGCGGUGAAAUGCGUAGAUAUUAGGAAGAACACCAGUGGCGAAGGCGGAUUACUGGACGACAACUGACGGUGAGGCGCGAAAGCGUGGGGAGCAAACAGGAUUAGAUACCCCGGUAGUC